GACGAACGCUGGCGGCGUGCUUAACACAUGCAAGUCGAACGGGAUUUAGUAAACAGACGCCUCGGUGGAAGAUUACUAAUGAGAGUGGCGAACGGGUGAGUAACGCGUGAGCAACCUGCCUAUGACAGUGGGAUAGCCUCGGGAAACCGGGAUUGAUACCGCAUAAAAUCGUAGAAACACAUGUUUUAACGGUCAAAGAUUUAUCGGUCAUAGAUGGGCUCGCGUCUGAUUAGCUAGUUGGUGAGAUAACAGCCCACCAAGGCGACGAUCAGUAGCCGGUCUGAGAGGAUGAACGGCCACAUUGGAACUGAGACACGGUCCAAACUCCUACGGGAGGCAGCAGUGGGGAAUAUUGCACAAUGGGGGAAACCCUGAUGCAGCGACGCCGCGUGAACGAAGAAGGUAUUCGUAUCGUAAAGUUCUGUCCUAUGGGAAGAUAAUGACAGUACCAUAGAAGAAAGCUCCGGCUAAAUACGUG
rnacentral:rRNA from 1 species